UACGUAGGGGGCAAGCGUUGUCCGGAUUUAUUGGGCGUAAAGAGCGUGUAGGCGGCUAGAUAGGUCCGUUGUGAAAACUCGAGGCUCAACCUCGAGACGUCGAUGGAAACCAUCUGGCUAGAGUCCGGAAGAGGAGAGUGGAAUUCCUGGUGUAGCGGUGAAAUGCGUAGAGAUCCGGAAGAACACCGGAGGCGAAGGCGGCUUGCUGGGCUUUGUCUGACGCUGAGGCGCGAAAGCGUGGGGAGCGAACAGG
rnacentral:rRNA from 1 species